ensembl:lncRNA
GGAAAAUAAAGUAUAUCCAACCGGGGUCUUAAUAAUCGUUCCUCACGGAGAUUCCUUCUGAGGAUCGCAGCCUCUACGUCCACAGGCUCUCGUAGAAAAGGACAUGCCAAAACUAACACUUCCUUCUGUCGGAGAGCUGCCUUCAGCCUUAUAGACAACAAACUCAGAGUAGGUCUAACCACCUCCCGAGCAGGGGCCCGUUUCAGAAAGCAGAGGCCUGUUUCAGGUAGCUGGUUUAACAUACUCUGAGUUUAAUCCUGCGCUCCGAGUUGGUUGACUCAGAGUUCAGGGUUGAAAAGCACUCCUGGGUUUUCGGUUUCAGAACAGGUGAUCAGCGUUGGGUUAAUCAACUCUGAGUAUGUUCACUCUGGGUUGAGGGCGUGCCUGUUGACUAUGAAGAGCCAUCAUCAAUGGAUCUCUGAUAACAUGAUCAAACAUGGACCAAAAGCGUAGAUCCACUUACUUUUCCCCCACGGAAUUGGAAAUUCUAAUGAACGUGUAUGCCGAGCAGUUACCCAUUGUAACAAAAAAAAAGCAAUACCGCCGCGGCAGCGAGAGCGCGAGAGAGAGCUUGGCAGGAAAUAGCUGAACAAGUCAAUGCCAAAUCGAAAAAAUGCAGAGGCCCGGCAGACUGGAGGGGGUCCACCACCUGCAGCCCUCACAGAGGCUGAGGAGAUGGCCCUUGAGGGGAAAAACGGUCUGUCUAGUUACUGGACCAGAUAAAAUGAGACGGAGAGGUAAUAAAGUCUUUCGGCACGAGGACCUUGGAUUUAUUAAGUAAAGUGGCAACGGUUAUACAGAGUCAUAAAGCGUGAGAAAUCGAAUAUGUCUAAGUCCCUAAUCAGCGCUGAUGGUUCGUCCAGAGCUUCGCCUCCGUGGAAGGUCUGCUUCAGAAGAAGAUCCAGAGUCCCUGUGUGAUACAUUUUUAUGCUGUAUCCUCCUCUCGAUGAGGUGUGUGCGUUUGAGGUGUGUGUGGUUCUGUGUGUUUUUGCUUGGCCUUGGCUCCCAGGCCCUGGGAGAGCUUCGAAAUGUCUCCUGUGUGAUAAAUUAAAACGGGGGAGCGCCCCCCCGAAGUGUCUCCUGUGUGAUAAUUUAAUGUGGCUCUCACGUUCUUGAGGAUGAC